AACGAACGCUGGCGGCGUGCCUAACACAUGCAAGUCGAGCGCGAAAGAGCAAUCUGAGUAGAGCGGCGCACGGGUGCGUAACACGUGGGUAAUCUGCCUCAAGGUCUGGGAUAACCUUCCGAAAGGUUGGCUAAUACCAGUUAAGCUCACGGUGACUUCGGUCGGCUGAGAGAAAAGGGGGCCCCGAAAGGGUCUCGGCCCAUGAGGUGAGCCCGCGGCCCAUCAGCUAGUUGGCGGGGUAACGGCCCACCAAGGCUACGACGGGUAGCUGGUCUGAGAGGACGAUCAGCCACACUGGAACUGAGACACGGUCCAGACUCCUACGGGAGGCAGCAGUGGGGAAUUUUAGCACAAUGGGCGAAAGCCUGAUGCAGCAACGCCGCGUGUGUGAUGAAGGUCUUCGGAUCGUAAAGCACUUUCGACCGGGACGAACGAAGGC
rnacentral:rRNA from 1 species